AUUUCCUUCUUCUCUGUAACGAGAGUAAUUCGUUUCCAGCAUUCGUGAGUAAACUGUAUAGAUUAAUUGCAUACGUCUUUCACGUGAAGUAACCGCAUUCUGCGCUGGAGAUCCGAGUGUAUUAUAACAAAGAAUUUUAUUGUACGUAAUAUUUUACGAUUAGUUAUAUAUAAGUCAUUGAACGAAGAGUUCUAACAGCCAAUAUGUAUACAAGAAGCAGACAAAGCCAAGGCUAUUCCAAUGCAAGAAACCAAAAUAACCAAAAUGUAGGAUAUCAAGGACAAAACGCCGAACUAGUAGCUAUACAACAAUACCGAGGAGGUCUAUUCAGCCAGGGACUAGUUCGUCAGUUACCCACAUAGCAUAGCCUGCCACAAGCCAUAUUUUUGAUAAUACUGAACUGAUGUUUAAAUAAAGCAAAUUAUGAUAAUGUUUAUAAUUUUAAAUAACUAUAUUUUCCGUACAAAAUACAGAUGAAACAGAGGAUGAUGUUACAUCCUAUAGAACAUUCAGGAUCUAUGAGAAUGUUGUACUCCCUGUACAAUAUGUAUAGAAGGCUUAUGCAGAGAGGAAUGGAGUAUUACUACUUGCAGCCUGAUAUAUUAU